AUUGAACGCUGGCGGCAUGCCUUACACAUGCAAGUCGAACGGUAACAGGCCUUCUGCUGCUGACGAGUGGCGCACGGGUGAGUAAUACAUCGGAACGUGCCCGAUCGUGGGGGAUAACGAGGCGAAAGCUUUGCUAAUACUGCAUACGAUCUACGGAUGAAAGCGGGGGAUCUUCGGACCUUGCUCGGUCGGAGCGGCCGAUGGCAGCUUAGGUAGUUGGUGGGAUAAAAGCUUACCAAGCCGACGAUCUGUAGCUGGUCUGAGAGGAUGAUCAGCCACACUGGGACUGAGACACGGCCCAGACUCCUACGGGAGGCAGCAGUGGGGAAGGUUGGACAAUGGGCGAAAGCCUGAUCCAGCCAUGCCGCGUGCAGGAUGAAGGCCUUUGGGUUGUAAACUGCUUUUGUACGGAACGAAAAGCCUCUUUCUAAUAAAGAGGGGUCAUGACGGUACCGAAAGAAUAAGCACCGGCUAACUACGUG
rnacentral:rRNA from 1 species